UACGAAGGGGGGCUAGCGUUGCUCGGAAUCACUGGGCGUAAAGCGCACGUAGGCGGAUUGUUAAGUCAGGGGGUGAAAUCCUGGAGCUCAACUCCAGAACUGCCUUUGAUACUGACGGUCUUGAGUCCGGGAGAGGUGAGUGGAACUCCGAGUGUAGAGGUGAAAUUCGUAGAUAUUCGGAAGAACACCAGUGGCGAAGGCGGCUCACUGGCCCGGUACUGACGCUGAGGUGCGAAAGCGUGGGGAGCAAACAGG
rnacentral:rRNA from 1 species